rnacentral:rRNA from 1 species
UACGUAGGGUGCAAGCGUUGUCCGGAAUUAUUGGGCGUAAAGAGCUCGUAGGCGGUUUGUCGCGUCGGGAGUGAAAACUCAGGGCUCAACCCUGAGCGUGCUUCCGAUACGGGCAGACUAGAGGGAUGCAGGGGAGAACGGAAUUCCUGGUGUAGCGGUGGAAUGCGCAGAUAUCAGGAGGAACACCGGUGGCGAAGGCAGAUCUCUGGGCCGUAACUGACGCUGAGGAGCGAAAGCAUGGGGAGCGAACAGG